UAGGGAAUCUUCGGCAAUGGGGGCAACCCUGACCGAGCAACGCCGCGUGAGUGAAGAAGGUUUUCGGAUCGUAAAGCUCUGUUGUAAGAGAAGAACGUGUGUGAGAGUGGAAAGUUCACACAGUGACGGUAACUUACCAGAAAGGGACGGCUAACUACGUGCCAGCAGCCGCGGUAAUACGUAGGUCCCGAGCGUUGUCCGGAUUUAUUGGGCGUAAAGCGAGCGCAGGCGGUUUAAUAAGUCUGAAGUUAAAGGCAGUGGCUUAACCAUUGUUCGCUUUGGAAACUGUUAAACUUGAGUACAGAAGGGGAGAGUGGAAUUCCAUGUGUAGCGGUGAAAUGCGUAGAUAUAUGGAAGAACACCGGUGGCGAAAGCGGCUCUCUGGUCUGUAACUGACGCUGAGGCUCGAAAGCGUGGGGAGCAAACAGG
rnacentral:rRNA from 1 species